rnacentral:lncRNA from 10 species
AUAAGCAAAUGAAGUAAAAUGUUGGCAGUAGCAUCAUCCAAGACUACUGCUGUGGCUAUGGCAGCGAGAAUUUACUUUAGUAUGUCUGUAGCUGUUGGCUGCUUUGAUUGCGGACAGCAUGUACGAGGUAGGGAAAAAAGGGAGGGUGCUGGAGAGUGAAUUUUGCAGAAGAAGCACUUUUCUUGAUUUAAUUUUUCCAUAUCACAAAAAAUAAAUAUGGAAAAGAUUCAAAUAUGAGAAAAAUUGUACAUUCUAAAGUAGUAAAAUUCGACUAUAUUUGGAAAGAACAUUUAAAAAUGUAUAAUUUAAGAAGGUGUUAAUGAAAAACACUUGAGCACUGUGAGAAACAAACUUACCUGUCCGAACCCAAAGAAUGGACUGAGAGAGAUGGAGAACAGCAGAAGCGAGACUUUUAAUGACAGUUUUCCAAGGUGGGGUGUCUGGUGGGCAGGCACACCCAGUGUGGUUACAACAAGCAAUGUAUGCCCUAGUGCUUAGAUCCCUCCCCCUGUUCCUCAUAGGCUGAGUACUAUGGGAUCACAAUCUUCCAGGAUGUUGUCUAUUGAUCACCGGGUAGGAGAGUUUUAGGUGUUUUCUUUGGGGUUGUCACUGCAUUUUGUUGCAGCCAAUAAUACAUUGCAAUCAUAGUCAGCUCAGGGGCUUUUUAAGUAUUUGACUUAUGACAUAGGUAGUCAGGCAAGCUGAGAAGAAUAGAUAAAAUGAGCAAUGUUGCAGGUUAGUAAACUUUCAUUCUAGACUAAACGCAGGUUCAGGUGAGGGCAGCUAAGGGGUCCCCGACAAGCAGGUGCCAGCUAUUAAAGCAGGGGCCUAGUAUAUUUUGUCUUUCCAUAGUUUGCGGACCUAUGCCUACUCGAGGCACUUUGUCUUGGAAAUGGACCACCAUUUAUACAAUUACCUACAACUCCUUCCUCUUUUUCUUUUUACCCCAUUUGUCCAAUUUCCACAUUUAUUUGUGUGUCCUUUGGUGCUCAAAUUGUUUUAAGAGCUGUUGACUCUCUUCCUCAUAAGAGAGUAGGUCUGAAUUUGUUUCUAAUAGCAGUUAAUAUGUUAUGGGCAUUUGUUGAUGACUGUUUCAAUCAAUUUUUGGGUUAACCCUCUAACGUAGGGGAUAAUGCAAUAUCAUAAAGCUGUUAGGACUUCAGCCACUAUUAUAAGGGAUAUUCGAAUGGAAGCUACCAUUCCUUUCCAUUUCCGGAACUAACCUUCUAGCCAAUCGGUAAAUGGGUCAUCAAUUCUGGCAUUUUCUGCCAAUUCAUUGGCUAGAGUUGUUAACCCUUGUAAUGCUUUUGUGAUGGUUCCAUCUGGGGCAGUAUUGUUGGGAAGGAAAGUGCAACCUUUUCUGCCCAGAAUAAGACACACACCCACUUUCUCUGCUAGGAUUAUGUGUAAUGUAAGUCUGU